rnacentral:rRNA from 1 species
CCUACGGGAGGCAGCAGUGGGGGAUCUUGCACAAUGGGGGGAACCCUGAUGCAGCGACGCCGCGUGAGUGAAGAAGUAUUUCGGUAUGUAAAGCUCUAUCAGCAGUGAAGAAGAAAGACGGUAGCUGAGUAAGAAGCCUCGGCUAACUACGUGCCAGCAGCCGCGGUAAUACGUAGGGGGCAAGCGGUAUCUGGAUUUACUGGGUGGAAAGGGAGCGUAGACGGUAUGGCAAGUCUGAAGUGAAAGCCCAGUGAUCAACCUGGGGAUUGCUUUGGAAACUGUUAAACGAGAGUGCUGGAGAGGCAGGCGGAAUUCCUAGUGUAGCGGUGAAAUGCGUAGAUAUUAGGAGGAACACCAGUGGCGAAGGCGGCCUGCUGGACAGUAACUGACGUUGAGGCUCGAAAGCGUGGGGAGCAAACAGGAUUAGAUACCCGGGUAGUC